UUACGAUGCUACGGAAUUGUCGUGGGUUCUUGGUGCAGAUUGAAGAUGAAGAUUGUUGUUGUACGAGAGAUGUUGCGAAUUUGAAGAUGCUUGGAGACGUAUGAAGUAGAUGAAGGUUGAUGAUGUGAUGCCGAAAUCUUGCAGUUUCCACCGAGUGCUGCAGAUUAUGAUGAGUGAGGUUACAAAAAGAGAGAGGAAAAGUUGUUGCGGUUGGUUAUGGAAUGCAGAGAAAGAGUGAAGAUGGCGAUGAUGAUGAAGAUUGUAGCAUGGAUGCAUAGGAGAAGAGAUAAUUGAGAGAGGUUUCUUGUGAGUGAUCCCUAUGAAAUGAUUGAAGAAGCUAUCAAUUGAAAAAGGGCAGCUUUGGGUAAUAUGAUGCCAAGAUAACAAAUUGAAGCCACCCAAAACUGAAGUAUAAAUGGCUGCAAAUCUUGAGCAAGAAGAGAGAUGGAGUUCGAAGAAAAGUAAUUUGUCAAGUAGGAUGGGCUCUAAAUCUGGUUUAAGUAGGCAUCUCAUUUGUAUAAUUUUUAUGGGUUGUAAAUGGUAUCGUUGGAUAUUUGUAAUGUAUUUUGGAACUUGAAUAAAUGGAAGCCUUAAUGAAUUGUAACUUGAAAAUUGGAUGAUGUAAUUCAU